AUUGAACGCUGGCGGCAGGCCUAACACAUGCAAGUCGAACGAGUGGCGGACGGGUGAGUAAUGUCUGGGAAAAUGCCUGAUGGAGGGGGAUAACUGCUGGAAACGGUAGCUAAUACCGCAUACUAUCGGAUGUGCCCAGAUGGGAUUAGCUAGUAGGUGGGGAAAAGGCUCACCUAGGCGACGAUACCUAGCUGGUCUGAGAGGAUAACCAGACACACUGGAACUGAGACACGGCCCAGACUCCUACGGGAGGCAGAAGUGGGGAACAUUGCAAAAUGGGCGAAAGCCUGAUGCAGCCAGGCCGCGUGUAUGAAGAAGGCCUUCGGGUGGUAAAGUACUUUCAGCGGGGAGGCGGUACCCGCAGAAGAAGCAACGGCUAACUCCGUGCCAGCAGCCGCGGUAAUAC
rnacentral:rRNA from 1 species